GGUUCACCCAACCCCCGAAACCCCCUCUCCUACAAAACCCUCAGUUUGUUUCUCAGAGACAAUGGUCUCUCAUAGUUUUUCUCCCCCUCCGAUUUCCCCCAACUCACUUAUCCUCUCCAUCUUCCAAUGUCCUCUGUGUUAUUCCUUAUGCUCCACAAGCUCAUCAUGACAAGUGUAUUCUUCAUCUCUUUAUCUAUUUGAUCCAUUCCCCACCUACUUCUCUUCUGGAAACCAGUUUGUU
rnacentral:lncRNA from 1 species